rnacentral:rRNA from 1 species
UACGGAGGGUGCAAACGUUGCUCGGAAUCAUUGGGCGUAAAGCGCACGUAGGCGGCCUUGUAAGUCGGAUGUGAAAUCCCUGGGCUUAACCGAGGAAGUGCAUUCGAAACUGCAAGGCUUGAGUACAGGAGAGGAUCGCGGAAUUCCCGGUGUAGAGGUGAAAUUCGUAGAUAUCGGGAGGAACACCAGAGGCGAAGGCGGCGAUCUGGACUGAUACUGACGCUGAGGAGCGAAAGCCAGGGGAGCAAACGGG